CACGUAGGGCGCAAGCGUUGUCCGGAAUUAUUGGGCGUAAAGAGCUCGUAGGCGGUCUGUUGCGUCCGCUGUGAAAACUCGGGGCUUAACCCCGAGCCUGCAGUGGAUACGGGCAGACUAGAGGUAGGUAGGGGAGAAUGGAAUUCCCGGUGUAGCGGUGAAAUGCGCAGAUAUCGGGAGGAACACCGGUGGCGAAGGCGGUUCUCUGGGCCUUACCUGACGCUGAGAGCGAAAGCGUGGGGAGCGAACAGGAUU
rnacentral:rRNA from 1 species